rnacentral:rRNA from 1 species
ACUCCUACGGGAGGCAGCAGUGAGGAAUAUUGGACAAUGGCCGCAAGCCUGAUCCAGCCAUGCCGCGUGCUGGAAGACAGCCCUACGGGUUGUUAACUGCUUUUAAACGGGAAGAAUAAGGGGUACGUGUACCCCACUGCCGGUACCGUAAGAACAAGGACCGGCUAACUCCGUGCCAGCAGCCGCGGUAAU